rnacentral:rRNA from 1 species
GAUGAACGCUGGCGGCGUGCCUAAUACAUGCAAGUCGAGCGAACAGACGAGGAGCUUGCUCCUCUGACGUUAGCGGCGGACGGGUGAGUAACACGUGGAUAACCUACCUAUAAGACUGGGAUAACUUCGGGAAACCGGAGCUAAUACCGGAUAAUAUAUUGAACCGCAUGGUUCAAUAGUGAAAGACGGUUUUGCUGUCACUUAUAGAUGGAUCCGCGCCGCAUUAGCAAGUUGGUAAGGUAACGGCUUACCAAGGCAACGAUGCGUAGCCGACCUGAGAGGGUGAUCGGCCACACUGGAACUGAGACACGGUCCAGACUCCUACGGGAGGCAGCAGUAGGGAAUCUUCCGCAGUGGGCGAAAGCCUGACGGAGCAACGCCGCGUGAGUGAUGAAGGUCUUCGGAUCGUAAAACUCUGUUAUUAGGGAAGAACAAAUGUGUAGUAACUAUGCACGUCUUGACGGUACCUAAUCAGAAAGCCACGGCUAACUACGCG